rnacentral:rRNA from 1 species
UACGUAGGGUGCGAGCGUUAAUCGGAAUUACUGGGCGUAAAGCGUGCGCAGGCGGUUUUGUAAGUCAGAUGUGAAAUCCCCGGGCUUAACCUGGGAACUGCGUUUGAAACUACAAGGCUAGAGUGUAGCAGAGGGGGGUGGAAUUCCACGUGUAGCAGUGAAAUGCGUAGAGAUGUGGAGGAACAUCAGUGGCGAAGGCGGCUUCCUGGCUUAAAACUGACACUGUGGCGCGAAAGCGUGGGUAGCAAACAGG